CAGUCGCCGCGGUAAAACGAAGGGUGCAAGCGUUAAUCGGAAUUACUGGGCGUAAAGCGUGCGUAGGCGGUUUGUUAAGUCUGUUGUGAAAUCCCCGGGCUCAACCUGGGAAUGGCAAUGGAUACUGGGUCACUAGAGUGUGGUAGAGGAUAGUGGAAUUUCCGGUGUAGCAGUGAAAUGCGUAGAGAUCGGAAGGAACAUCUGUGGCGAAGGCGACUAUCUGGGCCAACACUGACACUGAGGCACGAAAGCGUGGGGAGCAAACAGGAUUAGAUACCCGAGUAGUCCCUGUCUCUUAUAC
rnacentral:rRNA from 1 species